UAAAAGCUCAAAAACAAAAUAAAAGUAAUAAAACAUUUAAAGUCCAGUUUGUUUACAUGUUUUAUGUGGUGCCCCUACAACUCCUUCAAACAACUCAUUUCUAUCAAUUAAGCAACACACUAAAUUUACACGACACAGUCGAUCAAGUAGCACCACAAACUCAUGAAUACUAGAUACAGAUAAAACAAAUACAAUUAAUUUCUAGCGACAAAGCCAAAUGAUGUAAACGUGAUA
rnacentral:lncRNA from 1 species